rnacentral:rRNA from 1 species
CAGGGGGCAAGCUUCCGAAAGGGAGGCUAAUCCCGCGUAUAUCGGUUUCGGGCAUCCGAGAUCGAGGAAAGAUUCAUCGGAAGAGGAUGGGCAUGCGGCGCAUUAGCUAGACGGCGGGGUAACGGCCCACCGUGGCGACGAUGCGUAGGGGUUCUGAGAGGAAGGUCCCCCACACUGGUACUGAGACACGGACCAGACUCCUACGGGAGGCAGCAGUGAGGAAUAUUGGUCAAUGGGAGAGAUCCUGAACCAGCCAAGCCGCGUGAGGGAAGACGGCCCUAUGGGUUGUAAACCUCUUUUGUCGGAGAACAAAACCCGGGACGUGUCCCGGACUGCGUGUAUCCGAAGAAAAAGCAUCGGCUAACUCCGUACCAGCAGCCGCGGUAAUACGGAGGAUGCGAGCGUUAUCCGGAUUUAUUGGGUUUAAAGGGUGCGUAGGCGGUCCGUUAAGUCAGCGGUAAAAUUGCGGGGCUCAACCCCGUCGAGCCGUUGAAACUGGCAGACUUGAGUUGGCGAGAAGUACGCGGAAUGCGCGGUGUAGCGGUGAAAUGCAUAGAUAUCGCGCAGAACUCCGAUUGCGAAGGCAGCGUACCGGCGCCAGACUGACGCUGAGGCACGAAAGCGUGGGGAUCGAACAGGAUUAGAUACCCUGGUAGUCCACGCAGUAAACGAUGAAUGCUGGUUGUCCGGGUCGAAUGAGAUCUGGGCGGCGAAG